UUUUCCUACGGGGCGCAGCAGUGGGGAAUAUUGCACAAUGGGGGGAACCCUGAUGCAGCGACGCCGCGUGAGUGAAGAAGUAUUUCGGUAUGUAAAGGUCUAUCAGCAGGGAAGAAGAUGACGGUACCUGACUAAGAAGCCCCGGCUAACUACGUGCCAGCAGCCGCGGUAAUACGUAGGGGGCAAGCGUUAUCCGGAUUUACUGGGUGUAAAGGGAGCGUAGACGGCUGGCCAAGUCUGAAGUGAAAGCCCGGGGCUUAACCCCGGAACGGCUUUGGAAACUGGCCGGCUGGAGUGCUGGAGAG
rnacentral:rRNA from 1 species